rnacentral:rRNA from 1 species
UACGUAGGGUGCGAGCGUUGUCCGGAAUUAUUGGGCGUAAAGAGCUCGUAGGCGGUCUGUCGCGUCGGUCGUGAAAACUUGGGGCUUAACCCUGAGCUUGCGGUCGAUACGGGCAUGACUGGAGUUCGGCAGGGGAGACUGGAAUUCCUGGUGUAGCGGUGAAAUGCGCAGAUAUCAGGAGGAACACCGGUGGCGAAGGCGGCAUCCUGGACCGGCAUUGACGCUGAGGCGCGAAAGCCAGGGGAGCAAACGGG